AUGCAGAUCUUGGCCAACCCACCAACCACGCACACAUGCAUUGGCACGGCGCUCCGGGCGUGGCCCGACUUCUGCAGCCCGCUGAACCUUCCUCGCGUGUGCCCGCACUUCCUCGGCCUCUGCUUGUUCCUGCGCCUCGCCGUAAACAUCAUCAGAACAAGGGCAAGCUUAUGCUAUCCUGCUGAGCCACGACCGGCACUACCCCUCGUCGUUUCGGGAGGACCAGGAGAGCACGAGCAUACCACCUCUGCACGAAGACCACCUCGUCAGCCGCGCAUGGAGUCGAGGAAGGCCGAGCCUAUAAUUGCGGGAGGUCGCGGCGACGUCAGCAACGUCGCCACACCGAAGAUGGGGGUUGCUAGACGAGAGACGAGAGAUCAUGGGCGGGAUCAAGACGGGAAGGAGGAUAUGGAUUCAGUGGAUGAGAGGGGUGGGGUGGGGAUCACGAGAGCUUAUCCAUGUCUUGGGGCGGCCAUCCAUGCUGAGCGGCAGCAGCGAGGUGCCAUCGUGGUGGUGAUGGGCAACAUCGGCGGCGGCUGCGCUGCCCGGAUCAGCAGAUCGACGGCGGCGAAUCCGGCGAAGGCGGCGGCUGCGUAUCCUCGGGAGAGGGGGAGGAGCGGAUCGGACCUCGUUCGGGAGAGAGUGAAGUCUAAAAUAAACCCUGAGAUUAUGCAUCCCGGGAGUGCCUGCUGCUAUCCGGUGAGCACGCAGGCCAUGAUGGCCAUGGCAGCCGUGGCCGGUGAGGAGCUAGGAGCCCAGCACGCCAACGGCGCAGAGUUGUUCGUCAUCAAGAGGAUGAAGGACGCCAUUAGGGAUCACCGGACCAAGCUCAACAUCUCCCUUGGCUUCGUCGACGCUGUGUCUCGGAGGCUCGCCGCCGUCCGCGACGACAAAUCUCCAGGCGUGGGCACGCACGGCAAAGGCGAAGACGACCAGAGCCACCUGAACUUCUUCUGUAUCAACGAGCAUCAAUUUAGCAUUGAAGUGUUGCCGGAAGGCACAUGCGUACAGGGCUGGUUUGAUAUAGUCCUGUACAAGCACGAGCUAGUGUACUUCGCUGUUAAUCUCGACAGAGCCAACACUCCGUUGAUGGACACGGCGGCGGUGCUCGCCGCGGAGGCCAAGCCGCCAGUCUUCCCGUUAAUAUACUUCUUCAUGUUCAUGCGCUGUUGGUGGCAUCCAUGGCGGCAUCCUCGCCCCGUUGACGCCACCUUUCCUGCAGCCUAG
rnacentral:rRNA from 1 species